rnacentral:lncRNA from 1 species
UUUGGGCUAUCACAUUCUUCACCCCUAAAAAGAAAUUUCGUCCUCGAAAUUUUUCAUACCUGUCACCAUUGUAUUGGAAGCUUGUGCAUUCUGUGGAGUAAGCGCAUUCAUUCUUCUCUGGUUUUUAGGAAUCUGUCCACCACCCUUAUGUUGUCCUUUAUAAGUUCUUUGGCCAACUUGAUUUUCAGUAUUUAGCAGGCAGCUAGCAAUUUUAUGAUCCUUCUGACCACAUUUGAAGCAAGCACCUGUAUUCCAAUAGCAAUUCUUGUCUGCAUGAUUUUUGCCACAUCUGGAGCACGGCUCACCAUCAAUUUAUUGAGUCUUAUUAUCCAUUGCUCCCUUAGCUGAUCUUUUGAUGUUUUUAUUAUUCUGCCCUUGUGUAUCAUUUGAUUUUGCUCUCUUUCUUUGUCUUCUUUCCCUUUCUAUGCGUUCUUCAUUGACUUCCCUUUCAAUUAUCAGUGCUUUGUUUACCACAUCUGCAUAAGUUGUCAAUUCAUAUGGAACCACUUAUUUUCGAAUUUCAGUUCUCAGUCCUAUCUCGAACUUGUGAACACGUUCUUGCUCACCAUCCACUAAUCUCAGAGCAAAUUUUGCUAACUCUGUAAAUUUUGCUUCAUAUUCAGUUACACUCAUACCCUUUUGCUUCAAAUAGAUAAACUCUUGCUCUUUCUGAAUCCUUAUACUCCGAGAAAAAUACUGAUCAUAGAAUGCAAUCCGAAAUCUUUUCCAAGUAAGUAUUUCGCCGUCUUGUUCAUGCUUGCGCUGUAGUCGCUGACACCAGUUGUAUACUUCUCCUUGUAGUAA